CUCGCCGGACACUGCGAGGAGUCACCUGGUGUGGAAUUGCGGUGCGCUAAGAUUCCCGGUGCUGCGCUGGGAAGUAGUUGGCAGUCUGUGAUUUGAGCGCUUCCCUGGGGAAAAACAGGAGGGCUUGUUUUUGUGAAGAGCUCCUUGGAAAUACUCAGUUUGAGUCUGUGAUUUCAGGAACUAACAAUGGACACACAAAAGGAAGUUCAACCCCCAAAGCAGCAGCCAAUGAUAUAUAUCUGUGGAGAAUGUCACACAGAGAAUGAAAUAAAAUCCAGGGAUCCAAUCAGAUGCAGAGAAUGCGGAUACAGAAUAAUGUACAAGAAAAGGACUAAAAGAUUGGUAGUUUUUGAUGCUCGAUGAAAUGUGGAAUUCAGAGGAAUAUCUUCUUUUGGAUUUGGAUUUUCUGUUUUUCAUUGUGUAUAGCUUUACGUAGCAUAUGUUAGGGAUAUAACUUUAUACAUUUUAUUUCAUUUUAAAAACUAUUGUAUUUAGUUGUCAAUACUUUCUAUAAAGAAAUUAUUCUUGUUCAGUUUCAUGAUUUGUAAUUUAAUUUUAAAACAUAUGUAAUCUAACCCAGAAUGAAGGUUGAAAUUGCUUCCUGGAACCACACUUCCUAUAAAAAACCUAGAAUCAUUUGGAGCCCUUAUGGAAAAUGAAGUUUUCUACAGUCCUCUAAAGAUCCAAAUAAUACUUGGAAGACACUGUCAUCAUCAGCUGUUGUAAACUAGCAUUUUGUAUAGAAUACACUGGUAUAUAUACUGUCUGCAUACGUGUCUUUGGGUUACAUACUUCAUUUGUUACUUGACAUCGGUAUUUCUAUGUGUAUUUUGCUUCACUGAUUUUGACAAAAAGAAAUUUUGAUGAUUGCUUUCUGUAAGGCAAAAUCAACCCAAUGAUGAGGCAGACAAUUAAGGCAGGUAUUCACAGAUUUAUCAUUUUUUAAGAUAAAAUAUUCUGCUUUCAGAGUAUAAAAAGAAUAGAAAUUGGUUUGCACUGAAUUACCAUAUAAAGUUUAAAACUUUUGCCUUGAUUUUAGAAAUAAAGAACUGAUGGCCCUGCCUG